GAUGAACGCUGGCGGCGUGCCUAAUACAUGCAAGUCGAGCGAACAGACGAGGAGCUUGCUCCUCUGACGUUAGCGGCGGACGGGUGAGUAACACGUGGAUAACCUACCUAUAAGACUGGGAUAACUUCGGGAAACCGGAGCUAAUACCGGAUAAUAUAUUGAACCGCAUGGUUCAAUAGUGAAAGACGGUUUUGCUGUCACUUAUAGAUGGAUCCGCGCCGCAUUAGCUAGUUGGUAAGGUAACGGCUUACCAAGGCAACGAUGCGUAGCCGACCUGAGAGGGUGAUCGGCCACACUGGAACUGAGACACGGUCCAGACUCCUACGGGAGGCAGAAGUAGGGAAUCUUCCGCAAUGGGCGAAAGCCUGACGGAGCAACGCCGCGUGAGUGAUGAAGGUCUUCGGAUCUUAAAACUCUGUUAUUAGGGAAGAACAAAUGUGUAAGUAACUAUGCACGUCUUGACGGUACCUAAUCAGAAAGCCACGGCUAACUACGUG
rnacentral:rRNA from 1 species